rnacentral:rRNA from 1 species
GUUCGCCGCCCGCGACUCGGCGAGAAGUCCAUUGAACCUUAUCAUUUAGAGGAAGGAGAAGUUGUAACAAGGUUUCCGUAGGUGAACCUGCGGAAGGAUCAUUG